UACGGAGGGGGCUAGCGUUGUUCGGAAUUACUGGGCGUAAAGCGCACGUAGGCGGCUUUGUAAGUUAGAGGUGAAAGCCCGGAGCUCAACUCCGGAAUUGCCUUUAAGACUGCAUCGCUAGAAUUGUGGAGAGGUGAGUGGAAUUCCGAGUGUAGAGGUGAAAUUCGUAGAUAUUCGGAAGAACACCAGUGGCGAAGGCGGCUCACUGGACCGGCAUUGACGCUGAGGUGCGAAAGCGUGGGGAGCAAACAGG
rnacentral:rRNA from 1 species